CUAGCCCCUGACUCAAUUUGUCAAGAUAUUUUGUUUUUGCUGGAAAUAAGACGUUUUCCGCGGUUUGAGAUGGUGGACUGCAUUGUGUUGAUCAACCUUUCUUGUUCUGUUUGUUGCUAGGAGCUGAAAGUUGUCUUUCCCAACUCACAACGAAUGAACCGUGGUGGCCAGGUCACAUCGGAAAUUGUCGAGUCUUGCCGUUCACAUAAAAUCACUGAUCUCAUUUUGGUCCAUGUACAUCGUGGCCAGCCUGAUGGUUUGGUCGUCUGCCAUCUACCUGUAGGUCCAACUGCAUACUUUGGGUUACUCAAUGUGGUAAGUUUCCUUAUCUGUUUUAUGAGAAUAUGCUGAGCUUGUGUGUACAAUAUGGGUGGCCACACCUGGUGGUAACAUAAGGUUUUGUUGUUGUGCAAGUGACAUGGCAUGAUAUCAAGGACAUGGCAUGAUGUCAUUAAGCUUAUCCACAUUUAAUACUAGAUAACUUCUCAACCCAGAUUGGUGAAAGGAUGGCUAAUAUUCUCAAGCAUCUCUUUCCUGCGCCAAAGCCAGAUUCGAAGCGAUUAAUUACUUUUGCUAAUAGAAACGGCUACAUCUCUUUCAGAUUUGCAUUUCACCCUUUUGAUUAUAUAGUUUCUUCCAUAACCUUAUCUGUUUCAUCGGGAGCUGAAAUUAUUUUAUGUGAAAAUUGAAACUUCUUAUUUUGUUGGGAAAGGCAUCAUGUCUACAAAAAACAUGGCGGCCUGAAUCUAUUGAGCUGAAAGAGGUUGGUCCCUGCUUCGAGCUGCGGCUGUACCGGGUGAGACCAAAUGCCUCCAUCCAGCCAUUAGCACUGCUUGAAGCCGCCAUGGGCAUAAUACCUGUUGGUAUUAACAUGUUGCUCUUGUCUGGCGGAUCAAACAAGGAACCGUGGAACAAAACGAAGCGAAGGACGACUUUGACUACGGCCUUACGUUAACACCGCAAAGAAGCAGAAGGCUCUUGGGGCGUGAAUUGGUUUGGCUUGGUUGAUCUGCACUGCAGUACAGCAAUUUUGAGUUUCAGGGUUCUUUACCCUUUACUGUAACACAGUAACAUUAGCACAGGACAAUGAGCAUCCUGGAAUGCUUUUCGCAAUUUGGGGGGGGGGGGGGUCCUGGAAUGCAAUUAUAGUAUGCUGUGAAGUUAUUUCAGAUGUCGGGACUUUUGAGAUGAGAAAUGUAAGCUAAGUUAGCCUACCGAAAUCAUCGUUAGCUAUGCUUCGGCUCUGAGAGCCCAGCUAUUUGUGUUUUUUUUUCUUUUGGAAGAAUCGCCAGCUAUUUGUUUUGGGCUGCCCAUCUGGGACUGCCGCUGAAUCCGGAGAUUAGUUGGCAAUGAUUUUACGGCCUACAUAACUCGGUCGCUGAAAUUGAAUUUUUUUAUUUAUA